GAUGAACGCUGGCGGCGUGCCUAAUACAUGCAAGUCGAGCGAACUUUUGGGAGCUUGCUCCCAAAAGUUAGCGGCGGACGGGUGAGUAACACGUGGGCAACCUGCCUAUAAGACUGGGAUAACUUCGGGAAACCGGAGCUAAUACCGGAUAACAUAUGAUACCACAUGGUCUCAUAUUAAAAGAUGGCUUUUAGCUAUCACUUAUAGAUGGGCCCGCGGCGCAUUAGCUAGUUGGUGAGGUAAUGGGUCACCAAGGCGACGAUGCGUAGCCGACCUGGGAGGGUGAGCGGCCACACUGGGACUGAGAAACGGCCCAGACUCCUACGGGAGGCAGCAGUAGGGAAUCUUCCGGAAUGGACGAAAGUCUGACGGAGCAACGCCGCGUGAGCGAAGAAGGUCUUCGGAUCGUAAAGCUCUGUUGUUAGGGAAGAACAAGUACCGUUCAAAUAGGGCGGUACCUUGACGGUACCUAACCAGAAAGCCACGGCUAACUACGUGCCAGCCGCCGCCGUAA
rnacentral:rRNA from 1 species